rnacentral:rRNA from 1 species
AUGGGGGGACCAUCCUCCAAGGCUAAAUACUCCUGACUGACCGAUAGUGAACCAGUACCGUGAGGGAAAGGCGAAAAGAACCCCGGCGAGGGGAGUGAAAAAGAACCUGAAACCGUGUACGUACAAGCAGUGGGAGCCUCUUAAUGGGGUGACUGCGUACCUUUUGUAUAAUGGGUCAGCGACUUAUAUUCUGUAGCAAGGUUAACCGAAUAGGGGAGCCGAAGGGAAACCGAGUCUUAACUGGGCGUUAAGUUGCAGGGUAUAGACCCGAAACCCGGUGAUCUAGCCAUGGGCAGGUUGAAGGUUGGGUAACACUAACUGGAGGACCGAACCGACUAAUGUUGAAAAAUUAGCGGAUGACUUGUGGCUGGGGGUGAAAGGCCAAUCAAACCGGGAGAUAGCUGGUUCUCCCCGAAAGCUAUUUAGGUAGCGCCUCGUGAAUUCAUCUCCGGGGGUAGAGCACUGUUUCGGCAAGGGGGUCAUCCCGACUUACCAACCCGAUGCAAACUGCGAAUACCGGAGAAUGUUAUCACGGGAGACACACGGCGGGUGCUAACGUCCGUCGUGAAGAGGGAAACAACCCAGACCGCCAGCUAAGGUCCCAAAGUCAUGGUUAAGUGGGAAACGAUGUGGGAAGGCCCAGACAGCCAGGAUGUUGGCUUAGAAGCAGCCAUCAUUUAAAGAAAGCGUAAUAGCUCACUGGUCGAGUCGGCCUGCGCGGAAGAUGUAACGGGGCUAAACCAUGCACCGAAGCUGCGGCAGCGACACUAUGUGUUGUUGGGUAGGGGAGCGUUCUGUAAGCCUGUGAAGGUGGCCUGUGAGGGUUGCUGGAGGUAUCAGAAGUGCGAAUGCUGACAUAAGUAACGAUAAAGCGGGUGAAAAGCCCGCUCGCCGGAAGACCAAGGGUUCCUGUCCAACGUUAAUCGGGGCAGGGUGAGUCGACCCCUAAGGCGAGGCCGAAAGGCGUAGUCGAUGGGAAACAGGUUAAUAUUCCUGUACUUGGUGUUACUGCGAAGGGGGGACGGAGAAGGCUAUGUUGGCCGGGCGACGGUUGUCCCGGUUUAAGCGUGUAGGCUGGUUUUCCAGGCAAAUCCGGAAAACCAAGGCUGAGGCGUGAUGACGAGGCACUACGGUGCUGAAGUGACAAAUGCCCUGCUUCCAGGAAAAGCCUCUAAGCAUCAGGUAACAUCAAAUCGUACCCCAAACCGACACAGGUGGUCAGGUAGAGAAUACCAAGGCGCUUGAGAGAACUCGGGUGAAGGAACUAGGCAAAAUGGUGCCGUAACUUCGGGAGAAGGCACGCUGAUAUGUAGGUGAAGCGACUUGCUCGUGGAGCUGAAAUCAGUCGAAGAUACCAGCUGGCUGCAACUGUUUAUUAAAAACACAGCACUGUGCAAACACGAAAGUGGACGUAUACGGUGUGACGCCUGCCCGGUGCCGGAAGGUUAAUUGAUGGGGUUAGCGGUAACGCGAAGCUCUUGAUCGAAGCCCCGGUAAACGGCGGCCGUAACUAUAACGGUCCUAAGGUAGCGAAAUUCCUUGUCGGGUAAGUUCCGACCUGCACGAAUGGCGUAAUGAUGGCCAGGCUGUCUCCACCCGAGACUCAGUGAAAUUGAACUCGCUGUGAAGAUGCAGUGUACCCGCGGCAAGACGGAAAGACCCCGUGAACCUUUACUAUAGCUUGACACUGAACAUUGAGCCUUGAUGUGUAGGAUAGGUGGGAGGCUUUGAAGUGUGGACGCCAGUCUGCAUGGAGCCGACCUUGAAAUACCACCCUUUAAUGUUUGAUGUUCUAACGUUGGCCCCUAAUCGGGGUUGCGGACAGUGUCUGGUGGGUAGUUUGACUGGGGCGGUCUCCUCCUAAAGAGUAACGGAGGAGCACGAAGGUUGGCUAAUCCUGGUCGGACAUCAGGAGGUUAGUGCAAUGGCAUAAGCCAGCUUGACUGCGAGCGUGACGGCGCGAGCAGGUGCGAAAGCAGGUCAUAGUGAUCCGGUGGUUCUGAAUGGAAGGGCCAUCGCUCAACGGAUAAAAGGUACUCCGGGGAUAACAGGCUGAUACCGCCCAAGAGUUCAUAUCGACGGCGGUGUUUGGCACCUCGAUGUCGGCUCAUCACAUCCUGGGGCUGAAGUAGGUCCCAAGGGUAUGGCUGUUCGCCAUUUAAAGUGGUACGCGAGCUGGGUUUAGAACGUCGUGAGACAGUUCGGUCCCUAUCUGCCGUGGGCGCUGGAGAACUGAGGGGGGCUGCUCCUAGU